rnacentral:piRNA from 1 species
AAUUAGACACACGAGUACUUUGC